rnacentral:rRNA from 1 species
UACGAAGGGGGCUAGCGUUGCUCGGAAUCACUGGGCGUAAAGGGUGCGUAGGCGGGUCUUUAAGUCAGGGGUGAAAUCCUGGAGCUCAACUCCAGAACUGCCUUUGAUACUGAGGAUCUUGAGUUCGGGAGAGGUGAGUGGAACUGCGAGUGUAGAGGUGAAAUUCGUAGAUAUUCGCAAGAACACCAGUGGCGAAGGCGGCUCACUGGCCCGGUACUGACGCUGAGGUGCGAAAGCUAGGGGAGCAAACAGG